rnacentral:rRNA from 1 species
CCUACGGGAGGCUGCAGUGGGGAAUAUUGCACAAUGGGGGAAACCCUGAUGCAGCGACGCCGCGUGAGCGAGGAAGUAUUUCGGUAUGUAAAGCUCUAUCAGCAGGGACGAACAAAGACGGUACCUGACUAAGUAGCCCCGGCUAACUACGUGCCAGCAGCCGCGGUAAUACGUAGGGGGCAAGCGUUAUCCGGAUUUACUGGGUGUAAAGGGAGCGUAGACGGCAAGGCAAGCCAGAAGUGAAAGGGCGGGGCUCAACCCUGUACAUGCUUUUGAAACUGUUGUGCUAGAGUGCAGGAGAGGUAAGUGGAAUUCCUAGUGUAGCGGUGAAAUGCGUAGAUAUUAGGAAGAACACCAGUGGCGAAGGCGGAUGACUGGACUGUAACUGACGUUGAGGCUCGAAAGCGUGGGGAGCAAACAGGAUUAGAUACACCAGUAGUC